UAGGUGACCCCUGUGAAAAGGUUGUUUGAC
rnacentral:piRNA from 1 species